AAUUCUCAACCAUGUCUUCAUUGACUUGGCUUGGGGGUUGGGGGUUUGCUGGCGGUGUUCUCUGUCGUCAGCUCUCCUGAAAUGCAUUCGUGAUCAGUUGUUAUUGGGGCAUGCACGGCCUUUCGACGUGAUAAUGAUCGUCGAGGGCUGGAGUGUCCUUGACUUAACUAGAUCGCUUUCAUUACUUGCAAGCAAGCUCUUGCUUUUUGGUUAUUAGCUGGUCAACGGCGAACACCAAAGCGUAGACUUGACUUGACUUGACUUGACUUUUGAA
rnacentral:misc_RNA from 1 species